AACCGUACGUUCGAGCCAGUGGGACAGAGUGACGGAGCUGACGAAAUUGGCUCAGGAAAGAAAUACCGAUCCAUUGGUAUGGGCCAUGGAGCUUUCCUCCAGUCUUAACUCCGCCGGCAUCUCUAUGCCGUCGACCGACGUUGCCGAACUUCUCGUAUCUCAUAUUUGUUGGUCCAAUAAUGUUCCUAAUGCUUGGAAGCUUCUAGAGAAAGCUUUGGUGUUUAGAAUUGUCCCUCCUUUGUUCGUUCUCGCCCUUCUCUCUACAAGAGUAAUUCCUGCUCGAAGGAGCUAUCCGAUGGCAUACAGGCUGUAUAUGGAACUUCUAAAAAGAUAUGCUUUUUCAUUACCAUCUCUAAUUAAUGGUCCAAAUUAUCAAAAGAUCAUGGAAGCUAUAAAUGAUACAUUACAUGUUUCCCAGAUAUUUGAACUUCAGGGGUCUGAAAGUGGUCUAAUUGUG
rnacentral:misc_RNA from 1 species